CCCUUAGAUGUCCGGGGCCGCACGCGCGCUACACUGAAGGAAUCAGCGUGGCUUUCUCCCUGACCCGAAAGGGUUGGGAAACCCGUUGAAUCUCCUUCGUGAUAGGGAUUGGGGCUUGAAAUUGUUCCCCAUGAACGAGGAAUUCCUAGUAAGCGCAAGUCAUCAGCUUGCGUUGAUUACGUCCCUGCCCUUUGUACACACCGCCCGUCGCUACUACCGAUUGAAUGGCUUAGUGAGGCUUCCGGAUUGGUUUAGAGAAGGGGGCAACUCCAUCUUGGAACCGAGAAGCUAGUCAAACUUGGUCAUUUAGAGGAAGUAAAAGUCGUAACA
rnacentral:rRNA from 1 species